rnacentral:tRNA from 1 species
UAAAUGAGGGCCGGGACUGAGGCGGUUGAUUGUUACUCAACAGGUUAUGGAUUGCUUCAUUCAUUUAG